UUACGUUUAUAGUUGACUUGAAGCUACCCCUAUUUGCCCAUCCUUUUUUUUAGGAAAAAUAGAGAGAGUUUUCCCUUCAGAGUUCGGACGAUUUGUGAGUAUCGGUGGCGACGAGAACGCAGGAGACGGCGGUAUGGUGCUCAGCGAUUUGGCUCGGAGUGAAUUAAUCGAUUGGCUGCUUGAUGGGGCAGCGUGCUACUCCGCGGCGCGGUCUUGGCGCUGUGGUUUUCACUGGGCCGUUGGGACAGAGUGUUGAGCUGCAUCUGCCUAGGUCUUGGGUGGCGUCGUGCGGGGUCGAUGCGGCGUAGCUAUGGCGGGUGAUUGUGGCAGCGCUGCAGUGUGUGGCCGUGCUUGCGCUGCUACAUGAUGGCAUUCCCUCUUCCCUAACGUUUGACUUGAAGUUUGGUUGGGUGUGAGUGCACGGGAUGAGCAGGAAGAAUGUCGACGGCGAGGUGAGAAACAUCUGGCAAAUUGCGGACAAAGGUCAAGGAAGGUGGUUGGAACCACAAUGUGGCCCCGAAAUCAACCACCAACAGGCAGACAAAGAGGAGGUGAUUCACCAACGUAGCGUGGCGUUGAAGAGUGGGUAACUAGUCCACACUCUAAAAUUGAGGUUUGGAGCAAUAAAAAGAGUGAUUUUGUUCGUGAAUCAUGUUUAAAAUUUCUUUAGCAAACAAGCACUAGCACUAGGGGCGGAUCCUAGAUCCGCCACUAACUAGCAGCACCGUUUCAGAUCUGCUUCUUGUUGGUUCAUGUUGACAUGUCAAUGAAGAGAUAAAGUAAAAUAGAAAAAAUACAGUAUAUUCGUUUAAUUCUUCUCUUGUGUAGACCAAAAAUUAGCGGGUCAAUGAAAUUUUAUUUUUCUUGCAAAUUA